GUGGGGAAUAUUGGACAAUGGGCGAAAGCCUGAUCCAGCCAUGCCGCGUGUGUGAAGAAGGUCUUCGGAUUGUAAAGCACUUUAAGUUGGGAGGAAGGGCAGUAAGUUAAUACCUUGCUGUUUUGACGUUACCGACAGAAUAAGCACCGGCUAACUCUGUGCCAGCAGCCGCGGUAAUACAGAGGGUGCAAGCGUUAAUCGGAAUUACUGGGCGUAAAGCGCGCGUAGGUGGUUCGUUAAGUUGGAUGUGAAAGCCCCGGGCUCAACCUGGGAACUGCAUCCAAGACUGGCGAGCUAGAGUACGGUAGAGGGUGGUGGAAUUUCCUGUGUAGCGGUGAAAUGCGUAGAUAUAGGAAGGAACACCAGUGGCGAAGGCGACCACCUGGACUGAUACUGACACUGAGGUGCGAAAGCGUGGGGAGCAAACAGGAUUAGAAACCCUGGUAGUCC
rnacentral:rRNA from 1 species